rnacentral:lncRNA from 1 species
GCUUUUCAAAUGUCUCCCAGGAGAGGUGGUGAUGAAGACUUACAUGGAAUAUUCGGACGGACAGGGGAAUAUGUUGGAUAUGACAAUAAGAUUAAUUACAAAAAUAGGGAGCUUAUACGUUAUCAUCACUGGCCUCUUAGACGAAAUUGGCAAAACAGAUUUGAAAGCAAGGUAUAGUUUUAAUGUUACUUCUUUUGCAUCAGAACAUGCUACCCUUUUUAAGGUUGAAAAUUAUGGUCUGAUAAAGGCACAAUGUCGGGAUAUUACUAUCCUUCGUUAUUCCUAUCAUUUAUUGAAAUAUUUUGUUUUCGAAGGUUACUUAUAUAUUGAAGGACGUGUAGAUUAUCUUGUAUGGCUAGCUGAGGCUUGUAAUUUGCAAGUCUUAACUGCUUUUAAUUGGAGAGAAAAUAAUAGUUUCCAAAUUAAAUUUUCACUGAAAACGUCGUAUUUGCUGUCAACGUAAAGGACUUUAUAAUUAUAGUUCGCAGUUUUGUGUUGCUUUAUAGCACAGUUCCUUUCUUUUUGGACGUAUGACAUUCAUCAGAUUUUUAAAAAUAUUAUUCAAAUAUUGAUUUUGUAUUUAACUUCCAUAAUAUCUUAAUUGUUAUAAUUUUACACAACGAUAUUUUAAAAUUACUUUAAAGCCUUACAUCUUAAUUGGCUUAACUUCUAAAUCGCAUAGUUAGAAUAGUUAAGACUUUCAGUUAACUUAAAGUUCAUAUAUAUAGAUGUUCAUUUAGACGAGAAAUAAAAUGGUACAAAUAAAACUGUUCUAUACAUAUUGUAUCGUAUAAUUUCGGCCUAUUUGAAAUAUAUUGAUCUACAUUGAAAUUAUCCUUACAAGUGACAAAAUAAAUAUUGAAUAGGUGGAUAAUUUACACUUGUUUAAAUAUUAUUCAAUUUAUUUGAUACAUUUAAAAGACAUUUAUCCUAUAUUAUACGAGAAUUGCAAAUACUAAAGUUUAAAUCAACACAAUUGAUAAAUCAUCAAUUUCAUGUAUAGUCUGAAAUGUUGAAUAGGGAAAGAUUUGUUACGUGCCAAAAUAUUAAACUCAGCAGACAAAGUUUACCUUUUAACCAAAUUGGUGAUCCUACUCGACUGCAACCACCGAAGAAUACUAAUCGUAUAUUAAACAUAUAAAAUUGUAAGUGUCCUUAGUUGUAAUAACAUAUUCAUUGGUCUUCAAAUUUGUUAUAGUAAGACACAUUUUUUCUGACGUUCAGUGGCAAUUACCUACUUGCAUACUCAGAUGCAACUAUUUAACAAAUCAACUGGGUAGACUAAAAAAAAAGUAACAUUAAGUUUUUUUCCCUCCUAUUUCAUUAAAGAAAUUUUGUCUUGCAAGAUGUAAUUUAUGAAAAUCACACAAGCAAUUGAAGCUCAUACUUUCAAAUAAGGAUUACUUGAUUUGACAUCACUUUUCAGACUGGCUUCGUACCUUUACAUAUUGCACAUUCAGAAGGCACUCUUCUACCAAUUAAUAUUGAAUGGGAAAAAUUCAUAAAAGUAGUUAUAUUUCUUUGUUUCCCUGAUAGCCAAGGUCGCGUGUUUCACCUCGCUUGACCAACAUUGCAGAACCUAGAUAUUAGAUCUGUGUCAUUACUCUGCAUAAAAUGUUUGCAUCUAGACAAAAAUCAAUAAAAUAAAAUAGUCUAUGUGUUGCCACUUAAUUAUUUACAAAUGCCUGGUACUCAAGACUAAACUUCAAAAUCUCAUUGGUUGAAAAUAUUUGUGCGUACAUUUAAGAUCAAAACGGGUGUUUGCACCAUUUUCUUUUUUAGACUUCACAUCCCAUUGAUCAUGAUCGUUUGUCAGAGUACCAUGUUACUGUGGCAUUAUGAAAUGAACUUGUUGAUUGAAACGCCGAAUGACAUUUAUGGUUAAUGCUGAUGUGUAGUUGAUUGCUUUUAAAAGAGCUCAGUUUUAUACUUUUCAAACCAGCUGAUAACUGUACAAGAUUCGCCCUCGGUUUCCUUGAAUGAGUCAAAUCCGGGCAUUUGUAGUUACAUGAAUUCGUUUUAAAGUCUUCCUAUAUAAGAACGUCAUAGAAGAACUUAGUAAACCUGGAAGGGAUUAGAAUUGAUAUUUACCACAGUGUUAUCAUAAUUACAUAAUUGACAACUUGGACAGAUAACUUGUAUUAAUUUGCCAGGACAAGCAAUGGUUAUUGAGAGGGUGUAACCUUGGGGACCGAGGCUGAAUCAAAUAGAAAUGUACAUUUUUAAGCUGGAAAAAAUACAAAAGGGCGUAAAACUGCACAGCUAUAUUUGUCGAAGAACACAAUAGUGUAAUCGAGUUCGAAAGUCCAAAUAUGUCAAAACAGACCAGCACAUUAUUUUUGGACAUUUUAGUAGGUCAACACAGGACAAUGGCUACAUGCUCCCAUACAUUAUACACAGACAUUCUUAUGAAUCCUUUGUCGCCCAGUUGGUCUCUUGGUUACUGUUUAUACUUGAAAAGGGGUAUUGACAGGUGAUAUUUUUAUAUACCCAACUACACUACAAGGUUGUGUCUCUCUGGAAAGGUACAUCUGGAAAUCACCUUGUUUAACCAUUCUUAUUACUAAUAUCCCGACUUAUGAUGAAACCACGCUUUGGUCAACUGACAGGAUCGUUACUGAUAAAAAAGGCAGUAUUCCAAGUUCUACAUUUUAUUAUUCAAUAGAGUCAGAACACGGUAGUCUUUAUUAACCGUACUACAAAUACAUCGACAAACUCCAGAAAGCAUAGAUUUUAUCCAGCUUUUUACUGGUUUAAUGGUAAAAGGGGAUCAUAGAUUUGAUAAACAAACUGAUUGCGUGCAUUUAGCCAAAAAAACAAAUCCUUAUACAAAAGUACACAAAACGCUGGAGCCGUCAGUAAUACUAACUCACUAGUCCGAGAUUACUCUGACGUCCAAGUGUUUUGUCACAAGCUGGGGUCGUGGGACGUCAGAGCUCGUCCCAUAUCAAAAAGUGGAUAUUUGCCCACCCAAAAUAGAUGCGCUGCUUCGUCGCGUCUUGUGCCGAUUGAGGCCUUGGAAUUAUAUAAAUCGGGCAUCAAUCUGUUCAUUUUUCAUUUAUCUCUUCAUUUAUGUAGUUUCACUACCUGCAACCUUUGUUUCCAUAUUUAAACAGUUUCACAGAGGCAUUUUCUGACUUUGACUUACAAAUGGACGCAAGUUCGAGAGAGUUCGUGGCCUCGAGACUCAAAUAUGCAAAUAUUUAUAUUUUUUCACUCCUUUAUAGAGAUCGAUGUUUAACAUCUAGAAGCCAACCACGAUUUUUCCCCUCUUUACAGGAGAUCAGUAUUAAGCAUUUGGUUCCGACCACGAUAACACUCUAAAGCUCUCGGACAUUUAGAUAUUAUGCAUCGUAAAUGAACGAGGUGUUACAUUAUGGUCAUUGCAUUGUUUUCUCGUGGUCACGUGAUAAUCUUUGAAAAUGAAAGUCAAAAUGCAGAAAUCGAAAAAUAAAGGUUGACAGGUAGGUGAAACUUAAAUAAACGAAGAGAUAAAUGAUUGAUGCCCGAUUUAUAUAAUUCAAAGGCCCUCAAUUGGCACCAGAAGCGACGAAGCAGCGCAUCUAUUUUGGGUGGGCAAAUAUCCACUUUUUGAUAUGGGACGAGCUCUGACGUCCAACGGCCCCAGCUUGUCUGGCAAAACAGCCGUUGGACGUCAGAGUAAUCUCGGACUACUAACUCACAUGCUUAUGAUGUUACUUGAGAAUAUUUACAACAACUAGUGUGAAUAAUUCAUGAACAUGUUCACAGGAUUCGUAAACUAAAUACACCUGGAGUUAAUGUGCAUUUGAUUGAUCAUUAGCCAUUUAGAUUAAGUUACGUAUUCAUUCUUCUAAAUAAUUUAACAAAGGUAUAUCGUUUUGUAUUUUAUGUAGACGACCAAAAACACACCAGGGAAAAGUCUUUUCAGUUCGCGUCAUUUGAAACAUUACGCAUAUGCCAAAAAAAAAAGAGUUCUUGAAUAAUAAAUAAUUCAUAACUUCAUCAAAAGUGUUAUUCUAAAUGCAGAAAUAUAUAAUUGAAACUUAACACUAAUGAGGUUGCAGUUUUAUCAAAUACAACCAGAAGCAGUAAUGAGUCGAAAAUUGAAUCGAAGAACUUUGCCAGUUUGUUUUGUGCUUGAUCAGAUAACUUUUCUACUGUCAAUAAACUCAUCAUAGAUACCAGGACUAAAUUUGUAUAUACGCCAGACGCUCGUUUCGUCUAUAAAAGACUCAUAAGUGACGCUCGAAUCGUUGCCACUGGAUUAUGAAAUUAACAUAUUGUUGCUGAAAUAAACUUUACAGGAUUUUAUCUAAUGCCGCAAAUUGUUUUAUUGAUGUUUAUAUAAAUGUAUUUUUUUUGUGGAGGCUUCAAACAGUACUCAAGUAAUAGAAUGAGUUUUAACCAAAUUCAGAUGUAACAUUCCAUCCAUAAAACUGACGAAGUCAUGACUCAUCAAAGAUACAUUUACGUUCAUAACAUAACAAAAAAUUGAAGAUUGUACGAACGUAAGACCAAUUUAAGUUACAGCAUGCGAUACGAGAUUGAAGCUUGUUUGAACCGAGAGCUGCAGUCUUGCAUUUUUUAGGGUGUUAAACACUGCCUAAAACACAAAUAUAAAUAGACUUUUAAACUUUUUAUAGACUUUAUGAAUUCGAAUAUGUAUAAUUGGGGGGUAGUGACCGUUUUUAUUCUGUGUAUUGUUGUAUUGUACUAUAUAUAAUAUUAUUUAUUCAUGUUUCUGUCCUGAGUGUUUUUGUGUUUAUUUGUGAUCUUUUCACGUAAUGUUGUCAUUUAAGCGGUCGGUUUUGCUAACAAAAUGAACCAAGUUCAACCCACCAUUUUUUCUUAAAAAGGGUAGUACCGAGUCAGAAAUAUUGCAGUUGUUAUCAAAUAGUCCGUUUAUAUGUAUGUUGGUGUUUGAUUUUGAAGGGGUUCAGUGUUUCUGUUGUUCCGUUGUUUUCCUCGGUAUUGUUUUAUGACCUGGUUUUAUGACUAUUCAACAGCAUUAUAAUACUGUUGCCUUUACUUUUCAUAUUUUUUUAAUGGUUCUGAAAGUUGUUUAUUUUGGUAGCAAAACCUACCGUUUAUAUGGCAAUGUUAAAUAGUAAACAGUAUCAAUCGAAUGUUAUCACCUGUCGUAGGCAUACAUUUCUACUGCUGUACAUUGUAAUUUGGUUAUUUUUAUCAUCAUUGUAAAAAAACACAAACAAAGAUAUUUCUAUAAUCGUUUGUUAAAUUAAAGUUCUACAUGACAUAUUAGAUGCAAGAUGGACACGUUUGUGGGUAAAUAAUGUGAAAGAAUAACAAACGAGCUUACGCAAUACCCGUAAGAAACGCAAUAAUUGGAGGGCCUACCAGCUGACCAGUCGAUGCUAUAAAAUCUUUGGACUCAUUCACCGUAGAGAACCAAAUUCACCAGUCCCUUUCUAUUUCAUAAUUGUGAUGAAUUAAGGAGAACAUACUGCUCACAUUCAAUAUAACAAGGAAGUUUUCCUAGUUGUUGUUAUGGUUCGUUCAUAGAUAAUAUAAAUAUGAAAAUCAUUAACAUGUCAGUAUGUUUUUCCGUACCGCAGCCCUAUAUUGUUCAUGCUAAUAGUUUUAUUUAUAAAAAUAUACAUUUGGUUGAUGAGAAUAUGUUAAAAGAAUUAAAAAACAAUAAUUUCAAUAAACUAAAACACCUUUUAUUGAAGAAAAGCCGUAAACGUAUUGUGCCAUUUAACACACACAUGUUUGUCAUUUUGUUACAGUUAUUUUCCUGCUUGAUUUCACAAAUACCAAAAUAUUACGGGAAAUGUAUGACUCAUAACAAAACACUUUUAAACACUAAAACAACAAGACAUUUAUAACAAUUUCUGAAAUUGUGUACUAGUUCUAACUCUUAAAAUUUAGGAAUUUUUGAAUCAGACAACAAAAACGUGUUUUCAUUAAAAAAAAAAAAACGAAGAAUCUUUAAAAUUCUUUAAAAAACUUUCCUUGAAUUGGUCAAUAAAGAAAACCAAAUAUAUCUUUUGUUAAGAAUAAAUUAAAAUCAAUCUUAAAUAAAGUACAUUCAUAAACCUAUGUAGAUUCAAUUGCUUUUAAAGAAUAAUAAUAAUAAUACACCUAUGUGAAAAUUACUCGUAUCCAAUUUUUGCUCAGGAAUAGAUAACCUAUUCUAGAGGUGGCGUGAAUCAGAUGUGGAUACUAAAAAAUUCCAAAUAUCUUUUAGAGUACAUACAAUCUUACUCUCUUUCAUCUUGCAAUUAGUAUUAAAACAUAUGACUUUUCUACAUUUUAAACAAGUAUUCCAAAUUCCAAACUAAAAGACAAAUUGAAAAAAGUUGGUAUUGCUUUGUUUCAUAAAAAAGAAUGGCCAACGUAGAUACAAGUAUCUUGUCUUAGGGAGGGAUAUAUCCUACGUUGUAAAGGAUCACUCUGAUUCAAACAAAAUUCUCUGAAUCUGACAUAAUAGUUAUCAAAGGUACCAGGAUUAUAAUUUAAUAAGCCAGACGCGCGUUUCGUCUACAUAAGACUCAUCAGUAAUCAAGAUGCUUAAUUUCUUGAUCGACAACAUAUUUGUUACGUUGGGAGAACGUGUUUUUCAAGAGACUGUGGGUAUUCCAAUGGGAACAAAUUGUGCCCCUCUUCUUGCCGACAUGGUUCUUCAUUAUUAUGAGGUUGACUUCAUACAGCAACUUCUUAGGAAGAAAUUUAAGAAGUUAGCAAUAACCUUUAUCUUCACUUUCCGCUAUAUAGAUGAGGUUCUCUCACUAAUAAUUCAGAAUUUGGUGACUGUUAAAAGCAUCUAUCCAAUUGAACUAGAGAUAAAGGAUACAACUGAUACAGUUAAGUCGGCCUCAUAUCUUGACUUGCAUCUAGAAAUUGACAAUGAGGGUCGGUUGAAAACAAAACUUUACGACAAAAACGAUAAAUUCAGCUUUCCAAUUGUGAACUUUCCAUUUCUAAGUAGCAACAUUCCAGCAGCACAUGCAUACGGUGUAUAUAUCUCCCAAUUGAUACGAUAUUCCCGUACUUGCAUUUCCUAUCAUGAUUUUCUUGAUAGAGGGUUGUUGCUCACAAGGAAGCUAUUAAAUCAAGAGUUCCCUUCAUAAAUGUUACCUACCGAAUUAGACUAUUUAUUGUUAUCUCAUAAGCAACACGACGGGUGCCACAUGUGGAGUAGGAUCUGCUUACCCUUCCGGAGCACCUGAUAUCACCCCUAGUUUUUGGUGGGUUCGUGUUGUUUAUUCUUUAGUUUUCUAUGUUGUGUCAUGUGUACUAUUGUUUGUCUGUUUGUCUUUUUUUCAUCUUUAGCCAUGGCGUUGUCAGUUUAUUUUCAAUUUAUGAGUUUGACUGUCCCUCUGGUAUCUUUCGUCCCUCUUUUAUGGUUCAGAACUGUCAGAAGAUGUUAGAUCAAAAUGAACGUUUUAAAAAAACGUAAAUUAAUUUACCAGGGGUGUCUGAUAAUUCUUAUUCAUGAAGGAAACUUUUAGGGAAAAUCUGAGACCCAACAAAACGUUUAAUAAUAUUUUAUUUCAUUUGUUGAUAAAUCCAUGGAGAUAUGUAUGUGAGACUUUAUGUUGUUGAUGACUUUGGGCUCUUAAAUACUUCAUGUUCAUUUUAAACUGUAGAAGAACACUUUACAUAAUACAGUCGAGAUUUUCAUCUAUAACCCCCAACUCUACAACUCUGCUACCUGCACUUCACACAUCAGUAAUUCUAUAAUUCCUACCAUCAUUGUUAUUCACCUCUUGGUGUAUAACGUUUAGAAUUUCUGGUACUGACGAAGAAGCAUACGGGUUGCCAAUCUUCAAACAUGGGUUCAAUGUUUGAAUGAACUGUUCUUUUUCUAAUUUCUUCAAGUGUUCUUUCGUUCCGCAACCAACUAAACAUUGCCCUAAUUACAGCUGAUUUUUAUUGAGUGUGUUGCCAAAGGUAAUAUGUUUGGUUAUCUUACUUGUUAGCUGAACCGUGAAUUCAUUGUUAGGUCAGGUAAACUACCCCCUUAAGAAUUAUAGACUAGUCCAGCGGAUAACCAAUCUAUUUGUCUGUUUGACUAGGCUACUACAGGAGGGUUAUAUACCUGACAUAAUAAUGAUUUCACGGUUAAGCUAACCAAAAAUAUUACGUUGGGCUACACACUCAAUGAAAUCAGCUGUAAAUGUUAAUUUCUUCUAACAGUGGCUCAUCAUCUGACCAAUAUACUUUUUUUCUAAUUUGGUAUUGUCAUAUAGUUUUGAACAUAAUGAAUACCCUGUGUCACGGUAACUGUUUCUUUUAAACAAUUACCAUAAUAUUCCAUAUAUAACAUCGAAACGUUAUAUGUAUAAUUAUACUAUCCAAUUUUAUCUAAAGAAAUUAUUGUAUCUCGUGAUCUGAUGAUAAAUAAUGCAACUUUUUUCUGAAUUCAGAGGCAAAUGUUGUCCAAUGUCCGAAAGAAAUGGAACUUUUCGUUUAACAAGUUGUAUUUCGGAUUAAACAAAAUCAUGAAAACCAGACCGCUCUGACAUAUCAGAAGUGUUGGUUUAAAAUAUGUAAAAAUAAUUAUACAAGCAAUUUUUACCAACAAAUGUAAAAAAAUAAAUAAAAAUGUUACCCUCAAAAUAUUAGUAUUAUCGUUAAUUAUACUAUACACUUUUGUAAAACGAUCAUCUCAUUGAGCGUUUUUCACAUUUUUCUCGUGCCGAGUACUGGUAUCAGAAUAGUUUCAACAAACUGAUAUGCCUUAUUUAUUUAUGUGACUUUUACGAUUUCAGGAAGAGACAACUCUUACUUUAAAAAUGUAGACUAAUUCCAUUUAGAGUUGUUCCUCUUUUUCUAUAUCUUAGAUUAUUCCUCAAAUUUAAAACAUGCUUAAAUUUGAUUAAGUUAAACAUUGUUUAAAUUAAAACAUGCUUAAAUUUGAUUAACAUUGCUUACAUUAAAACAUGCUUAAAUCGGAUUAACAUUGUUUAAAUUAAAGCAUGCUUAAAUUUGAUUUUCAUCUAAAUGAACACUAUAAAUCUCCCAAGUCUAUAUUAAGAAAUUUCGAAGAAUUGUGGUUUAAAAGUUUGUAAUAUGUUUCAAGUGAGCUUCUCUUUUAUUAUGAUGUCAUUCUUUGAAUGUGGUCUGAUAUUUUGGUAUUAUUAUAGCAUUUCAGGUUAACUUUUACGUUGGCGUUUGAACUUUAAUUUCGAUUACUGCCAAAUUAAUAUUUAAUUGUACAUUAUCUCAAUGUUGAUAAAAGUCCUGUCAAACUGUAUUUGAUUAUUCCCAAAUGAAUCGAAUCAUGGUUGAUGUUACAAUACAAUAAUAAUAAAUGCAUGUUUUUCAUUAAUUUGAAGUCUUAUCGAUUCGUGUCGGCUAUCUAAACACACUAGCACUUUGCGAUUGUAGACCACCUUAGCCGUAUUUGGCACAAUGUUUUGGAAUUUUGGGUCCUCAAUGCUCUUCAACUGUAUACUUGUUUGGCAUUAACUAUUUCGAUUUGAGCGUAACUGACAUGUAUUAUGUAGACGUAUCAAAUUGUAAGCCUGGUACCUUACGUGUCGUCCACAAGGGUAUCACCAUACCAGAAAUACAUGAAUAUCAUUUACAUGGUCAUUUUAAUAAAUUACUAGUAACUGUUUGUAAAUGUAUGAAUUAUAUUCUAAAUACUAAGGAUUUUCGAAUCACAGGCAUAGGUUACCAUAGCUGUAUUUGGCACAACUUUUUGGAAUGUUGGGUCCUCGAUGCUCUUCUACUCUGUACUUGCUUGUUUUUUUAACUUUUUUUUUAUCUGAACUUCACUGAUAAGUCUUAUGCAGACAAAACGACACGCGACUGGCGUAUCAAAUUAUAUAAGCCUGGUACCGUUGAUAGCUAUUUACGCGUGGCAUUUUAACCUUUUACCACGAGUUUUGAAACCGACGUGUCGAUUGUGUCUUAGCAUCAGUUGGUUGAUUGUUUAAGCAACCAUGUAACAAUCAAACAAACAAACAACCAACUGGCAACAAGAAACUGCAUAUUAUUCAUUUGAUAGGUAUUAAAUAAACUCGUCAUAGAUACCAGGAUCGAAAUUUUGUUUUUGGUCUAGACGUGCGUUUAGAAAGCUACUUUUUUUUAAUUAUAAAAAAAUCUGAUUUGGAAAUUUAGACUUCAAGUUUAAGGCGGUUUUUAUACGCUUUCGCAAUUUAAAGUUUUACUGCAGGUGUAUUCUACUGAUUUAACGUCUAUUACAAUAUUUGAUUUAAUUUUGUAAGUUUUAAUACGUAUAUGACAGUCGUAAAAUGCGUUUAUUAUAGUUUAUUAUAGAUUAGACAACGCCUGUGUUUUAGCUUAUGGAAUGGUUUUACUAUCUUUUUUUUUCGAUUUUUACCUUUCCUGUUGGUCUGGGAUGUGCUUUCCAUAUGGGUUGUUGUGUGCGAGAAUGUCAAACAAUUUUGUUCAUCAUGUGGGCUUAUAUGUUUGACUGAUAUUUUGCAUUGUGCCAGAUUCGUUUAAAGUUUUCUAUGUCCAAGACCUAUUUUACCCAUGUAUUAAAUGUCUUUUCUUGUUUUAUUAUUUUGUACUUAUACCCUUACAAUUUCAUACAAAUAAAGCUUUUUGGCCUAUUCCAGUCCAACAUUUUCCGAUUAUUUAUGCCAGAAAUAUUUGGUUUGAGGGUUGUUUGUAGUUGAAACAUAAAAGCCAUCAGUCUUCAGUAGUAGUGUAGUGCUUUAUUCUUCAAUAUGACACAAGGUCUUAUCAAAGUGGCUCAAUUGUUUAUUGAGCUUUUGUGAGUGUUGAUUUGACUGUCCCUCUGGUAUCUUUCGUCUGUUUUUUGUAUAGUUUAAUAUCUUUUUAUAAUGUGAAUAGUUAUUGCACCUGUAACUAACUGCCUUUUCUACAUUUAAAUGUGAUAUAAUUUAAACUUUAUGUACAGACUUCGUAUUUUUUUCAGGAAAUCCCAACAGCGAUGAAACCAUCACAGGUAAUUUGAAUAACACUUAUUUGUAUACAAUACUUUCUGUUCAAUCGUAGCAAUCAUGUUUCAUUGAAAUAUACAUCCAGUUAUAAAUGUUCAAAAUUUAUUUGGUUCCUUUAUUGCUUUUGUGUGUGUGUAUCGGUAUAUUUGAGGAGAACAACGACACGACAUUAAAAUGUAACACACACAGAAACGGACUAAGCAUUAGACAAAAUCCUAUGAGAAUAACAAAUAUAACAUCAAAACCAAAUACAUGAAUUAAAAAUAAAUGUGUUUAUGUAUUUAAUUGAGAUACUGAAUCAUAUUACAUCAAAUGCAGUUUUCAUCAAAUAUUUUAACAAAUAUUGCUAUUAUUCGAAAUCAAUACAAAAAGUGAUAUAGGUAUCCAUUGUAAUUGCAUCCUCAAAACUUUAGACAUCGUAAGGUUAUAAUUUCCUGCUGCACUGAAAUCAUAAAAAUGUUCAAUUUCUUAUUCUCUGAAUUAACAGAGGUCUAUGAGCCCAAUGUUAGAAAGGAAGAAGCAAAAGGCAUCUGUAAGUUAACCAUGGUCUGGUUUACAAGUGUAGAACUAAUGUGCACACUAAUCGCACUUGCAUGUGUAAUGAUGUCUAAAUGCACCAUAAUUUCACU